ensembl:lncRNA
CCGGAUCCCAUCCUGUGAUUCCUGGGUGGAAGUGGUGCCUCCGGAGAUGUGGCAGGAGCACAAGAUGUUUUACGACUCUGCUCUCCACAUGACGAACCAGCCCCGUCAGCUGCAGCACCUGGCGCGCUGCGCCGUGCGAAAGCACCUGGGAGCGCGGUGCCAUUCCACCAUCCCCAAACUCAACCUGCCCCCGGCUCUGCGGGCUUAUCUGCAGCUCCCUCUUGAGGGUUACAUCCGGUGAAAGAGAAGAUGCAUCCUUCAGGCGUGUUAUUUGGGGAAUGGCUUUGAAUUGCUGAUGGGUGACUGAGAUCCCAACAUACCAGGGCCCGUAAUACUCUGUCAGUUGAACAUGUCAAGUAGUAGCCCUGUGGGCUACUUAUCGAGUAAGUUGCUGCUCAGUGGAAGGGCAGUUGGCAGAAUCUAGCCCUUUCUGAACAUACUUUGAUAACAGGGCUCGGCUUGUGCCAGCACCAGUUUCUACCCCGCUCUACUGCAUAUAAUACGAGGACAAAGGAUGGUCAAUGAAAUUCAAAAGCAGGAUACUUAAAAGUGACACAGCAGAAUAUUCUUCCCCAGGCAGUACCUGUUUAGUCAGGGGAAAUCAUUGCCACAGGACAUCACUGAAGCCAAGAGCUGAGCAGGACUCAAAGGAAGGACUGGACAUUUAGCUAGAGAACAAGGAAAUGCUGAAUUAGAAUAGUAUAACCUUCUAAAAUACAAGAGUCUCUGUAUUUAAACCCUUUCUGCCUCAGGCCAUGAGCCAAAUGCUGACUAAUGGGGUUAGGAAGAAUGUCUCACUCUGACGGGAACAGGGAACAUUUCUUCCUCAUCCCCAGGGCAGGUUAUUCCACAGCAACCUUCUGCUGGGUUUUCUGCACCUUCCUCUGAAGCAGCUGAUACCGCCCCGUGUUGGACACGGGACGGGAUGAUCCCUGGUCUGAUUGAUGUCCCUGUGGGUUUUUCUGUUUUUAAACUCUAAGUACCAAGAACUGGGGUCAUAAACUCAAGGCUUGGGGAUGCUGGUGCCCUCCGUGGACCCAAAACGAUGCCCUGGCUACAAACAUGCCAGUAGCUGAAAAGCGCAAAACAUGAACGCCGAUCAAAUCUGCCACCACCUCUUGCAAUGCCUCUGGCUGAGGCCUGAUGCCCGCGGUGUGUCCCACUUCCAAACUGGAGUGCUCAUAAAUUCAGCAAAGAGUGUGGUGUAAAGAUCUAAAUGUAGGGUGACCAGAUAGCACCUGUGAAGAAACAGGGUGGGGGGUAAUAGGUGCCUAUAUAAGAAAGUCCCCAAAAAGAGGACUGUCCCUAUAAAAAUGGGACAUCUGGUCCUCCUAUCUAAAUGGACAGAGCCAGAGGAAGUGCCAGCCCAGAAGCCCAUCUUGUUCUGUGUCCAGGAAUGGCCAGGUCCAGCUCAUUCUGGAGGAGGGGUCAAGGAUACCCCCAGUGGCCAAUAUUGGAAUAACCUCCCUAUAGGAGAUGUUUCCUCCUGACCCCUCUGUUAGCUUAUGCCUUGAAGCAGGAGCAUUUAAAAAAAUAGCCAGCUCUCUUCAUCUGUAAAUCUCAAAGCGGUUACAAUGGCAGGUGUGCUUCAUUACCCUCUUUACACUGGGGAAACCAAGGCACAGGGCAGUGGAAGUGACUUGUCCUAGGUCACCCAGCAGGCCAGUGGUAGAGCUGAGAAUAGCUCCCUGAUCGUCAGUCCACUUCUCUAGCCACUAGACCACAUUGUAGCCCUUCCAAGGGAUUUUAAAAACAACCUUCUAAUGUAAUUCUGGAUGUUCUCAUUAUCUGGAUAGGUCCAGUCUCUUUACUUGAAUCCUGAUUAUGUAUUUUAAUCUCAUGAGCUCAAAAACUGCCUGCUGUUUGCAGUAAAAUAUUCUGUUCUGCUUCUGCACUUUACGGGCAGCCUGUGUUGUUAGUUUCCCCAUGUAAAAUAAAAAGCUACAGCAAAUAUAUUUCAAAACAAGCUUGUUUUAAAUUUUUUCCUGCGUUGCUGGGGGUUAGCGUGUGUAGUAAGUGAAGGCCCUGAUAAAGGCCCAGUAUGAGGCCUGAGGCCUGAACUAAAGUAAUGGGCAAGACUUUGCUAACAUAAAGCAAAGUGAAGCUGUGAGCCAGAGGCAGGCCCUGCUCACAGCAGCUGGCAAGGAAAGGGCUGAUGCUGCAAGAAGAUACGUACCUAAAAGGUACUGAACACUAGAGAUCAGAACAUUCACAUACUUGCACAUUCCACACAGAUAACAAGGAACAGACCGACCCAUCCCAAUGACAGGGGCAAAAGGGUAAUAUGAUGGAUAGAGUUGUUUUGAUCGAACCAACAUGUACAAGGUGAGAGGCGGCACUUGACUAUGUAGAGGGGUUGUACCUUACUACGUAGAGGGGCUGCACCUCAAUACGUCAGGAGUGAUGUGUAACUUGUUUGUACCUGUGUAUAAAAAUGUAUCCCUGGGGCGAUGUCUUUG